rnacentral:rRNA from 1 species
UACGUAGGGUGCAAGCGUUGUCCGGAAUUAUUGGGCGUAAAGAGCUCGUAGGCGGUCUGUCGCGUCGGCUGUGAAAACUCGGGGCUCAACCCCGAGCCUGCAGUCGAUACGGGCAGACUAGAGUGCUGUAGGGGAGACUGGAAUUCCUGGUGUAGCGGUGAAAUGCGCAGAUAUCAGGAGGAACACCGGUGGCGAAGGCGGGUCUCUGGGCAGUAACUGACGCUGAGGAGCGAAAGCGUGGGGAGCGAACAGGAUUAGAUACCCUGGUAGUCCACGCCGUAAACGGUGGGUGCUAGGUGUAGGGGGUAUUCCACGCCCUCUGUGCCGCAGCUAACGCAUUAAGCACCCCGCCUGGGGAGUACGGCCGCAAGGCUAAA